AACUUAUGAAGAAAGGUGGAGGGACAGGCCCUAUGAAACCUUGGCAACCUGCCAAUCCAAUUAUUUUGGAAAGGAGAAGGUGCCAAAUCCGAUUCAUCAGCUGAGGCUGAAGGAAGAGAUAAGUA
rnacentral:ncRNA from 2 species